GCUCAGCCCUUAACAUAGACAAUACAAACACAAUAUUGUCCGCCAGAGAACUACAAGUGAAAAACUAGAAACUCCAAGGACUUGGCGGUGCCCCACAUCAACCUAGAGGAGCCUGUCCUAUAAUCGAUAAUCCACGCUGUACCCAACCAUUUCUCGCAAUUCAGCCUAUAUACCGCCGUCGAAAGCCUACCUUAUGAAAGAAACAAAGUAAGCAAAAUAGUCAAUAACUAAAACGUCAGGUCAAGGUGUAGCAUAUGAAAUGGAAGAGAUGGGCUACAUUUUCUACCUCAGAAAACACGAACAGCACAAUGAAACAUGUACUCAAAGGCGGAUUUAGCAGUAAGACAAAAAAGAAACUUUGCCUAAAACCUGCU
rnacentral:rRNA from 1 species